GAACUAUGUGACAUCAUAGCCUGAAUUCCCUCCUCCACCUUUUCAAAUAGAAAAUCAGGCCAGACCUUAAAGUAUUCUAGGAAAUUUGAAAGCUUGCAUUUAGUAGUAUGUGAUUUUUUUUUCUGGUCUAAAUUUUGAUUUUUUUCAUUCCUGACAAUUAUGGUUUAUGUACAGUUUUUUUUAUUUUUUGCAUGAAGUUCCUGGAAUGUUGAUUAAGGGGUUAUCCAGGCACCAUUUCUGAUGCAUGAAAUCCUUUGGGAUGCUUCUCCCAGAGACAGGAUUAAGAAAGGUUUGAAGCACAAGAAAACCAUUUGGUGGUGCUAUCGUUACAAAAUAAGAACCUCUGUCUGCCUUAGCUUACUGACUACGGUCAGACAAGGGGUGACAACAAGAAGGAUAAAUUAUAGCAGUGGCCAACUGGUAAACAAGAAAAUCGGAGUAAAUCAGUCGUUUCAAAUCUUUCUGCAAAAAUUCCAUGUAUCAUUUUCAAAGUCUCCGCCUCUCUGUAGAAAAUAAUUCCCUCCAGUCUCGAUGGGAGUUCUUGCUGGUUGGAGUUUCAGUUCAAAAGAUCUGAUGAGCAGCUUUCUGUGCUCCAUUUUGCUCGAGGGUCUCAGCACACAAACCCCAUUUGCUCCAGAUGCCACCAAGUUUCUUGUGAAGUCAGAUGAUGCAUCACCAUGAGGUUUAUUUGUGUGUGUGUGUGUAUAAAUCGGUGCAGCAAAAUUCUCUUCUGGUCCCCAGACUACUUCCUGGAGAACAGAGUGGCCUUUCUAAAUUAUACUGAUGGAGUUCUUGCAAAGCUUUCAUUUAUUUUACUGACAAAAGACAUUCCCAGGGAUUUUGCCUCUUGUAUGAACAUUCAUAAAUGAGGAGAAGGAAUGCUUUAUACAAGUUAUCAAUACAUUUGACCAUUAAUAAACAACACCUAUCUUAA